CUCCUUCCUGCAUAGACAGUUGAGGACUGGUUAAGGCCAUGAAGUUGGCAGGGAGAGGAAGAGCCUGAAAACUGUGUUGAGGCUAGGCCCACGCCGUGCAUAGCUGUAGGUGACCACGGGGGACAGCUGCCACAGACAGCUUCAGCUGGCAGCCAGCAGUUAGGAAAGAGGAAUCUUGGAGUUCAUUGUGAAUAGAACCAGCGGACCAUCUGGAGGGCCAAAGAGCAGGGUGGUGAAUGGUGAUGAAAACUGCAAGAAACAGGUUUCACAUGUGAAGGACUUCCAGCUUCCCAAGGUCAGCCGGGGAGUCACGUGAUGAAGUCUGUGGCCAGAACGGCAUGAUGCAGUUCGACGAAGACUAAAAAAUUGGGAUUUAUGGCGGCGACGUUGAAAAAUACUCACCUUUACUGGCACCAGUACCCGUGAAGGGAGGUCGAGGACCCAGCGCCAGGCGCAGACGUCGUCUGCAGGCGUGGUGGUGAGGACCAGGGCCCAGCUGAAAGGAGAGGGUCCGAUUGCUAGGGAGCGGAUGGGACACGCCGCUUCCACUCAGGGGUCGCAGCCCACACUGGAACUACAAAUCUCAAGCCCGACAUGGAGCUGAAGAAGCUGAAAUGACAGCGGGGUCCACACUGGGGAAACUAAGGAGGGGUAUUAAGAGAGAUGUUAUAAGAAACAUCAGUGUGACCCCUCCAUUAUCUGGGUAUUCCAGAGGAAACCUCCAGAAUGGCCCACUCCCCAAACAUAGAAACAUCUAAAGCUAGUGAGAUUUCGUGACCCGUAGUAUUCUCUGCUUGGUGCCUGGUGAUAUGCUCAGUGGAGGUAAAAAUGCAAAGUAUGGCCUGGAAAGAAUUUUUUUUUUUUUUAACGGUUUUUAGAAGUGACUGCCAUCCAUAGCACUCCGCACGUGAAGCGGCAGAUGGAGUUGCACGCGCCCCCGGGGAGGGAGGAUGUGUGCCGCGAGUUCUUUCUGACUCCAGUGUGCUUCUUACUAAGACACAGGAAGGCUCGCGCCAUUCGAUGCCUCGGCUCAUCGCUGCUCAAGACUCAAUUCAGCCCAAAUUACUCUUGUUGGAGAAGUGAACUUGGAUGGUUCCUUUAACGAGGCAGGAAGGGGAAAUUCCAUCUUCUGCCUGAGCUCCGCGCAGCCUGCCCGAAGGCUGAGGGGUCCGGAUGCCGAGCCGGUGACCGACUUGGAUCCAGGAGCAGCGGAGUCAGCAGAUCUGAAGGCUCUGGCUCGCUCUGAAGCAGAUGCCGUUAAAGCAGAACAGAAUCUCCUCCAAACAGGCUGCCACCCCAGCUCACAUGGCCACCAUCUGCUGUAGCAGUGUCCCCACUGUGCUGUGCUCCCAGUUUCUUCUGGUUACCUUCCCAGGCAAGGGGUGCUGCCUGGUUGGGCAGGCUGUAAGCUAGAAAUAAUGGCUUUAGCUCCCUGACUCAAGCCAGGAGCAGACCUCUCUACUGUGGAGUCGGGCCAGCGCCGGGAGAAGUUGGUGGUGGCCCCAUCUGCUUCCUCCCUCUCACCAGUUCCCUCCCUCCGGUCCCCGGCCGUUCUUUCUCCAGGCCUCUGGGGCUCUCUCUUGCUUGGCAGCUACAUCUGGUGGGCCGGCUUGGAGCAUUGAGCUUCUGCCUCCCAGCUCAGUGCGAUAUGCAGUUUGACAGAGAGCCCCAGGAAGAAACAGAGCUGAUUCCAGAGGAAUGGACUUGUGAAUGGUGCCUGGGCACGUGCCCAGCUUGUUGGCUCCCAGGCCAGGGAGAUACUAUUGCCGAAGGUGGCCUUUGGAGUGUCCGUCCUCUGAAUUAGACCAUCUAGGUCAUUGGCUACGUUUUUGGGAGUAGGACUGGCACUGACACAAAUUAAUUUCUAAUUCUGCCCUCCGAGUAGCGGAACCCAAGAUCUGGGACUGUUGGCAUUUAGUAGGCUGCCCUGGGGGCGAUUUCUUCAGCCAUUUGUGCCACUUCUUUUAGCAAAGGGUUUGGACCUGGUCCUAACUGUAGGGCUUUGGGUGUCUUACAGAGCUAAAACAAAAUAUCAUGGACUAUGUAGCUUAAACAACAAAUGUUUAUCUCUCAUAGUUUUGGAGGCCGGGAAUCUGAGAUGCUGCUGCUGGCUGAUCUGGUUCCUGGUGGGAGGUCGUGGAUGCUGGCCUCCUUCUGGCCAUCAGAGGGUGAGGGGGAGGUUGAGAACCCAGGUACUCCGAAUUCUAGUCCAUUGUUAUUUCAGCAACGUUCUUGUGUCGCAGGUACCAGUUGUUCUUUUAGUUACAAUGUCUCCUCCUCCAGACUUCCUUUGGCAAGAAAUCUGUGCUUCUGAAGUCAAUUUAAUAAUAAGGAUAUCUGUCCUCCAAUGGAAUUUGAAACCUAAGGACUUACAGAUGACACCAUCAAACAAGUAACAUCUGCCUCAAAAACCAGGCCUAACAUAUAUAUUCUGCUCUGGGCAAAAGCAACAGGACCUCUUAUAAAGAGAGCUGACAACUUGAAUAACUGUAUCGCAUGGUCGUGGAGAUCAAACGGUGGCAAGAGUCACCUGAGACAGAAAGCAUUUCACAUGCUGUCAACAGGAAGCUUGAGACCCUUGCUUGACCCGAUCGAUAUGAUGAAGAAUGAGAAAGACUGUGCCAUCCAGUUGGGGGGGGGGUGGC